UACGUAGGGAGCAAGCGUUGUUCGGAUUUACUGGGCGUAAAGGGCGCGUAGGCGGCGCGGGAAGUGACUUGUGAAAUCUCUGAGCUUAACUCAGAACGGCCAAGUGAUACUGCAGUGCUAGAGUGUAGAAGGGGCAAUCGGAAUUCUUGGUGUAGCGGUGAAAUGCGUAGAUAUCAAGAGGAACACCUGAGGUGAAGACGGGUUGCUGGUCUAACACUGACGCUGAUGCGCGAAAGCCAGGGGAGCAAACGGG
rnacentral:rRNA from 1 species